AUGGAGAGGGCCACGACGACGUGGUUCCACGCGCAGGCGGCGGCGGCGGCAGCAGCGGAGGACGACCUAUAUCUGGCGUUGACGCCGGCGGGCAGAAGGCUAGACCGGUACGACGAGCAAGCGCAGACGGUGUGCGUGGAGGGCAAGACGGUGCGGUUGUUCCAGUGCCUCUUCUGCGACAAGACGUUCCUCAAGUCGCAGGCGCUCGGCGGCCACCAGAACGCGCACCGCAAGGACCGCCUCGCCGGAGUCCUCGGCGACCCCUACAGCAACGACAGCCCGUUGGGAGGUGCCGCGACCGGGCCGUCCUGCGAUUCUGCUGCCGGCUGGUCCAUGUGCACCUACAUCGCCUCGCACGGCCGUGGCGCCGCGGUGGCUCCAGCCACCGAUGCCUGCACGCAAGAGAGAUGGGGAGGCGGCCGCGCUCCACGCUUCGCUGAGCCGGCGCCGCUCCUGGACCCGUCCACUGGCCGCGACGGCAUGGGUCGGUCAAAGGCCUCUGGCGCCGGCGAGGCGCUGGACCUCGAGCUGCACCUCUAG
rnacentral:rRNA from 1 species